UCCCUUGACAAUCUGCUCCCCAAUAAUGCAGAGAAGAGGGACCAGAGAUUUGGAUGCAUUUUUUGCUGAGUGAACUCCCAACUCCUUAACCCUGGCCAGAUUCUGACCCUUACUUGCUCCAGGUGCUGUGAGAUCCCUUCCUUCUCAAUGGGCUGCUUGGAGCUCCUGCCACUUGACUGAAUUAUCUUGAUGAUUUGGAAGCCAGAAUAAUACAACUGUACUUGCUAUGGGUGCCCUGGGACCAUAUCAGUGGGAGGACCAUCAUGAAUCCUACCAGGCUCUUUCACCUGAUUUAGUCUUCAUAGCUGGCUGAUUCCAUCCAUGAUCCCUAAAAAAUUUACAGCUAUAUCUGACCAGAAGGUGCUAGAAGUCGUAUUCAAGAGGAUAAUUAACAAUCGACCAAAGAGUUGGAAGAGGAAGGAAAGCAUAACCCUCACCAAACCACCCUGUUUCCAGAAAUUAUACGCAAAGCUGUAAGGUCACAGGAUGUGAAGUUGUGGUUAGCAAAAGAAAUUAGUCGUGAAAACGGCACUGCUCAGUAGGGAUUUACAAAAUAUGAAUCAAUUCUUUUUUUGUAUAUUUAAAGAGAUCCAUGAUAUAUAUAUGUUGGAGUUUCCUAGUGGGUAUGGCCUUUUUGAGAAGUACUUUUUAGCAGGUUUCAUGUUGGCUAAGUUUCUCUGGAAGAUAUGACCACUGUAUUAAAAGAAAAAAACAAAACCAAAAUAAAAAAACGCCCAAGGAUUACAACAUGCUGGGGAUUCCAAAUAUGCAGACAUGAAAAUAACCACACCCAAAGUUCAGAUUCAACAUUUUCUUUUCUGCAAAAAGAAUCUCAUCCACACUGAAACAUUUAGGUGGACAAAUUAACCAUAAACAAAGGCAAGGAAGUUCUCAAGCCUGUUCU